GGCUGGUCCGAGCGCAUUGGUGUUUAUAACAAAUUGAUCACAACCACUACCAGUUAUAGAUUCCUUUGUUCCUUCUCCACUCUGACUACUUCCCUUGACUAGCCNNNN
ensembl:misc_RNA Y_RNA Y RNA